UACGUAGGUGGCAAGCGUUGUCCGGAUUCACUGGGCGUAAAGCGCGCGCAGGCGGUCUUCUACGUCUGAGGUGAAAACCCGGGGCUCAACCCCGGGACUGCCUUGGAUACGGGAAGACUUGAGGAUCGGAGAGGCAAGGGGAAUUCCACGUGUAGCGGUGAAAUGCGUAGAGAUGUGGAGGAACACCUGUGGCGAAGGCGCCUUGCUGGCCGAUUUCUGACGCUGAGGCACGAAAGUGUGGGGAUCAAACAGG
rnacentral:rRNA from 1 species